GCGGGUGUAACACAAUGGCAGUGUGAUAGCUUUCCAAGCUAUUUAUGUGGGUUCGAUUCCCAUCACCCGCUCCA
rnacentral:tRNA from 1 species